rnacentral:misc_RNA from 1 species
GAAAUGCGAUAAGUAGUGUGAAUUGCAGAAUUCAGUGAAUCAUCGAAUCUUUGAACGCACAUUGCGCCCUUUGGUAUUCCUUAGGGCAUGCCUGUUCGAGCGUCAUCUAAACCUUCAAGCCCUGCUUGGUGUUGGGUGCCUGUCCCGCCUCCGCGCGCGGACUCACCUCAAAUCCAUUGGCGGCCCCCGCGUCGGCCACGAGCGCAGCAGAAACGCGAACUCGUGAGCCCGUCCGGGCGGCUCCCAGAAGCUACACCCGCCCAGUUUGACCUCGGAUCAGGUAGGGAUACCCGCUGAACUUAAGC